rnacentral:rRNA from 1 species
AGAGUUUGAUCCUGGCUCAGGACGAACGCUGGCGGCGUGCUUAACACAUGCAAGUCGAACGGAAAGGCCCUGCUUUUGUGGGGUGCUCGAGUGGCGAACGGGUGAGUAACACGUGAGUAACCUGCCCUUGACUUUGGGAUAACUUCAGGAAACUGGGGCUAAUACCGGAUAGGAGCUCCUGCUGCAUGGUGGGGGUUGGAAAGUUUCGGCGGUUGGGGAUGGACUCGCGGCUUAUCAGCUUGUUGGUGGGGUAGUGGCUUACCAAGGCUUUGACGGGUAGCCGGCCUGAGAGGGUGACCGGCCACAUUGGGACUGAGAUACGGCCCAGACUCCUACGGGAGGCAGCAGUGGGGAAUAUUGCACAAUGGGCGGAAGCCUGAUGCAGCAACGCCGCGUGCGGGAUGACGGCCUUCGGGUUGUAAACCGCUUUCGCCUGUGACGAAGCGUGCGUGACGGUAAUGGGUAAAGAAGCACCGGCUAACUACGUGCCAGCAGCCGCGGUGAUACGUAGGGUGCGAGCGUUGUCCGGAUUUAUUGGGCGUAAAGGGCUCGUAGGUGGUUGAUCGCGUCGGAAGUGUAAUCUUGGGGCUUAACCCUGAGCGUGCUUUCGAUACGGGUUGACUUGAGGAAGGUAGGGGAGAAUGGAAUUCCUGGUGGAACGGUGGAAUGCGCAGAUAUCAGGAGGAACACCAGUGGCGAAGGCGGUUCUCUGGGCCUUUCCUGACGCUGAGGAGCGAAAGCGUGGGGAGCGAACAGGCUUAGAUACCCUGGUAGUCCACGCUGUAAACGGUGGGUACUAGGUGUGGGGUCCAUUCCACGGGUUCCGUGCCGUAGCUAACGCUUUAAGUACCCCGCCUGGGGAGUACGGCCGCAAGGCUAAAACUCAAAGGAAUUGACGGGGCCCCGCACA